rnacentral:lncRNA from 1 species
GUAGGACGAGAACUAAGCUCGGAACUGCAUUAUAGAAAGUAAGAGUUCACAGUCUUACAUCCUCUUGGUCAAUUGGAGCCCACGUGUCAUUGCAGAUCAAAACUUAUAUUUUGGUUAUCUGUAUUUCUAUUCAUACAAUUUUUACUUUACUUUCAUGUGCGAAAAAUUAUUUACGAAUAUUUCUAUAAAAAUUUAUUUUAUGAGAAAAUAGAAUAUUUUAUUAAUUAUUUUUGAAUAGUACUAGUUGUUAACAAUUUGCUUUCAAAUGAACGUUUUAGAUACUUAUUUUGUUUUUAAAUCAUUAAAUAUAUAUUUUCUGCUUACCUAUUACAUUUUUAGCAAGUUUUGAGUAUUUUGACGAAAAAUUACGAAAAUGCCCCUAUGAGCUAGAAAAUAAUAUUUUAUUGUUCUUAUUUGAAAAUGACUUAUGAUUUUUUUAAAUGCUAGAUUUUAUAAUUGUUGCUCACCGGGGAGAUGCGAAAGUUGAUGCUAAGCCUUACGGGGUUUCGAUAGGCAUUCGGGGUGAAGAAUGUCUGUCGAGGCCUCGUGGCGGUUAUCACGGGAUCGAUGGGGAGUUUCGGGUCGUGACACCAUACCUUAUCCACUCAAAGUUCAAGUUGAAAGCACUCUUGAAGAAUAAGUGGUAAGUCAAUUUGGUUGAAAAAUCAAUCUUUGAUGUGGUGAUAAAUUUACUACAAUUCACUAAGAGUCAAGAAUAAAAAAUCAUACAAAAGAAAGACCUAUUUUUGGUAAUUUACACAUAACUUUCACUUUGAAGGUCCAAAUGACGUGAUUCCAAAGGCAUUGGAAAGUUAAGAAACAAGGCAACAAUUCUUAUGUUUAUCAUUUUACCCAGUUCGAACAAGAUCAAGGUGAAAAAAUUGUCACACAUUGCUUGUUAGUGUGAAUCGAAUUUGAGAAACGUGGAUCAAGGAAAUGUAUGUUUUUCAAGGAAAUGUAUGUUUUUCAUUCUUUAUAGAUUCUUGAUUUUAAUGGAUGUGUUUACAUAAUUUGUAAUAAGUAUCAUGUAUGAAUUUUGCUUAUGCAUUUGGAUUACUUGCUUCUUUAAAGAUUUUUUUUUUUUGAAAUUCAUGGUUUACACAAACUCAUCUUUGCAUAAAGAUUUGAUCUCCAACAGUGGGGUGUGUACCACAUGUACAUAAGGGCCAUGAUGUGG